GCCAUGCAGUGGGACUGAAACUGGAACUAUGAAGAUAUUUUCUGAAUCAUGUAUCACAUGCUUAUGCAUCCAGAUUAUAAUCUUCUGAAUACCAUUAAACAACAAGAGAACAAAUAUGGAAAAUGGAUAUAUAUAUAUAUAUAUAUAUAUAUAUAUAUAUAUA